rnacentral:rRNA from 1 species
GUGCCAGCCGCCGCGGUAAUACGUAGGUGGCAAGCGUUGUCCGGAUUUAUUGGGCGUAAAGCGAGCGCAGGCGGUUUCUUAAGUCUGAUGUGAAAGCCCCCGGCUCAACCGGGGAGGGUCAUUGGAAACUGGGAGACUUGAGUGCAGAAGAGGAGAGUGGAAUUCCAUGUGUAGCGGUGAAAUGCGUAGAUAUAUGGAGGAACACCAGUGGCGAAGGCGGCUCUCUGGUCUGUAACUGACGCUGAGGCUCGAAAGCGUGGGGAGCGAACAGGAUUAGAUACCCUGGUAGUCCACGCCGUAAACGAUGAGUGCUAAGUGUUGGAGGGUUUCCGCCCUUCAGUGCUGCAGCAAACGCAUUAAGCACUCCGCCUGGGGAGUACGACCGCAAGGUUGAAACUCAAAGGAAUUGACGGGGGCCCGCACAAGCGGUGGAGCAUGUGGUUUAAUUCGAAGCAACGCGAAGAACCUUACCAGGUCUUGACAUCCUUUGACCACUCUAGAGAUAGAGCUUCCCCUUCGGGGGCAAAGUGACAGGUGGUGCAUGGUUGUCGUCAGCUCGUGUCGUGAGAUGUUGGGUUAAGUCCCGCAACGAGCGCAACCCUUAUUGUUAGUUGCCAUCAUUUAGUUGGGCACUCUAGCGAGACUGCCGGUGACAAACCGGAGGAAGGUGGGGAUGACGUCAAAUCAUCAUGCCCCUU